rnacentral:rRNA from 1 species
GACGAACGCUGGCGGCGUGCUUAACACAUGCAAGUCGAACGGAAAGGCCCUGCUUUUGUGGGGUGCUCGAGUGGCGAAAGGGUGAGUAACACGGGAGUAACCUGCCCUUGACUUUGGGAUAACUUCAGGAAACUGGGGCUAAUACCGGAUAGGAGCUCCUGCUGCAUGGUGGGGGUUGGAAAGUUUCGGCGGGUGGGGAUGGACUCGCGGCUUAUCAGCUUGCUGGUGGGGGAGUGGCUCACGAAGGCUGUGACGGGUAGCCGGCCUGAGAGGGUGAACGGCCACAUGGGGACUGAGAUACGGACCAGACUGCUACGGGAGGCAGCAGUGGGGAAUCUGGCACAAUGGGCGGGAGCCUGAGGCAGCAGCGCCGCGUGCGGGAUGAGGGCCUUCGGGUUGUGAACCGGUUCCGCCUGUGACGAAGCGUUCGUGACGGUACUGGGUAAAGAAGCACCGGCUAACUACGUG